rnacentral:miRNA from 1 species
CAGCUGCUCACGGCACUCCAGA